rnacentral:rRNA from 1 species
GUGUCAGCCGCCGCGGUAAGACGUAGGGCGCGAGCGUUGUCCGGAUUUAUUGGGCGUAAAGAGCUCGUAGGCGGCUUGUUGCGUCGGCUGUGAAAACCCAUGGCUCAACCGUGGGCUUGCAGCCGAUACGGGCAGGCUAGAGUUCGGUAGGGGAGACUGGAAUUCCUGGUGUAGCGGUGAAAUGCGCAGAUAUCAGGAGGAACACCGGUGGCGAAGGCGGGUCUCUGGGCCGAUACUGACGCUGAGGAGCGAAAGCGUGGGGAGCGAACAGGAUUAGAUACCCGGGUAGUCC